rnacentral:tRNA from 1 species
GGUCCCAUGGCUCAGGUUGGUUAGAGCGCUCGACUGAUAAUCGAGAGGUCAUGAGUUCAAAUCUCAUUGGGACCA